GGAUGGGAGUCCAAACGAUCUGGCUGCUACAUCCAUCACUCCAUUGAUCGCCAGGGUUGAUUCGGCUGCUCUGGCUAACUAGGCGGUGUCCCCUUCCUCCCUCACCGCUCCAUGUGCAUCCCUCCCGAAGCUGCACGCUCGGCCGAAGAGGACGACCUUCCCUGAAUAGAGGAGGACCGGUCUUUGGUCAAGGGUAUAGGGGUAGCUGAGCUCCCCUGCUAGAACCUCCAAAGGAGCUCCCAAGCUACUCAUUCUUAUGUAACCCUUUCCCCUUUCAUUUGGUCACAUGUCCUCCUGGU
rnacentral:snRNA from 1 species